AUAUUAUUUCUUGUUAGUUGUAUUUUUGUAUACUUAAUACUUACAUUUUUUUAAGUCACUCUUUUUUUUCUGUAGACAAUUUAGAACAAACAAUCAGUAAGUUAAGUUUGAAUUGUUUUAGUUACUAUAUCAUUUAAAGUAUUUUUAUGCUGUGUUAGUAUUCCUUGUUGAAUAAAUGUUUUGAUUUAAAAGUUUUUUUUAAAAGAUUUAAGUUUAAGAAAAAAGAUUGUUAAAUGGUCAAUUAAUGUAGCACAUAAAAACAGAUUUAAAAAUCAACUGCAUCGAUGCAAAGUGAGAGAUGAAAUUUGCCAAAGACAAAAAAUCAAGCGCCAAAAAAUGGAUGAAAAAGAAAAAAGAAAGUUAGAGCGUGAGCUAUCCAAAUUGAGUUUUAACGAAAUUAUUAAUUCAUGCAAGCGCUUGUCCAAUGACCAACUAUUUGAUUUAGAAGAUGUCAUGUCAGAUAGAAUUGUUCGGAAGAAACUAGAACAUGAAUGGUACGAUCCACAAACAUGCAAAAGUGUUUUAUAUAGUGAAAGAGUAGAAAAAGUUAAUAAAAGAAAAAAUAACUUUAUUUAGACCAUUUCUUACUGGAAAGAUGAUGAAACUGAUAUUGGAGCUGUUGACUAUUGCAUGAAAAAGAUCCAGCUUGCUGCUGAUGUUGUUUUCAGAAAUUUGUUUAUUAACCGAAGAAAAUGGUUAGCUUGUUAACCAUACUGUAUGGUUCUGUUAAUGUGAGAAUCACAUGAAAGACAAUAAUAUAG